rnacentral:lncRNA from 1 species
AGGUGUCGAAUGAAAGUUGGAGGAUAUGAUGAAAAUUGCCUAUUAUAUGCAUAGGCAAUAACAACCUUUGCACCAUAUUUUUUAAAUUUUCUAAAAUCAUUAUCCAUGAUUUAACUUGUGCCAUUAUAUAAUAAGCAGCAACUCACACUAUUGUUUAGAGAUAAGUUACACAUAUUCAUGGUUGAAUAUCAUUAUGCAUUC